GCUGUGGAGUUUGGUGUUCAUCUGGGUUAUAACAACCCAAAAUGUAGCCGUGCAGACAACAGAUCUCUGCAACACAAAGAACAUAAAUCUGACCGGGAAGACUGCAUCUCAGUCUUCCGAUUAUUUAGCAAUUGGCAGUCCAUACAUUGCUAACAGAGCCUUUGAUGGGGAUCGCUCCAUAUGUUCUCACACCGAGUUGCAGACUAACCCUUGGUGGAGAAUUGACCUGCAGGGGAUAUACAGCAUUUCCUGUAUCUCUGUCUAUAAUACGAACGGUUUAAAUACCAAUAUAUCAG